rnacentral:rRNA from 1 species
UUCGCAAUGCCCGAAAGGGUGACGAAGCGACGCCGCGUGUGGGAAGAAGGCCUUCGGGUUGUAAACCACUGUCGGGAGUUGUGAAGUGUAAGGGUGCUAAUAGUAUCCUUACUUGACAAAGGCUCCGGAGGAAGCCACGGCUAACUCUGUGCCAGCAGCCGCGGUAAUACAGAGGCGGCAAGCGUUGUUCGGAAUUAUUGGGCGUAAAGAGCACGUAGGCGGCUAUGUAAGUCUGUUGUGAAAGCCUUCCGCUCAACGGAAGAACUGCAGCAGAUACUGCAUGGCUAGAGUGCGGGAGGGGAGAGUGGAACUUCUGGUGGAGCGGUGAAAUGCGUAGAUAUCAGAAGGAACGCCGGCGGCGAAAGCGACUCUCUGGCCCGUAACUGACGCUGAGUGUGCGAAAGCUAGGGGAGCAAACGGGAUUAGAUACCCCGGUAGUCCUAGCCGUAAACGAUGGGCACUAAGUAGAGGGGUUUU